UAAGGGUGGAAAGGCGAGGUAAGAGCUCACCCAUCCUCCGGUGACGGAAGGAUGCUGUAAACUCUAUCCGGAGCAACGCCGUGGAGGGACAUACAGGCCGGCCCGGCCGUCCCGAGGAGGCGGCUUGAGCGCUGCGGCAACGCAGCGCCUAGACAGAUGGCUGUUCAAGACAGAAUCCGGCUUACAGACUUGCUCGCCGC
rnacentral:RNase_P_RNA from 1 species